AGCCGCUGGGCCGCCUCCCUCCCCAUCUUCCGGCCACCGCCUCUGUCCCUAUUCUCCCAAAUUCGAUUGGAGUGAGCCGUCGCCAAGGGUUCCGCGCCGCGGCGAUGCCUCCGUCGUCGCAGACGGGCCCCGUACGACAGGGCGUUGCCAGUCGCCACCUUCGCCUCCCCGGUCUUCCCUCCUCGAGUAUCCAAACCCUAACGAAGGGGCUCGACAGAUGGGGGAAGGAAGGCGGCGGCGGCGGCCUCUCCGCGGAGGGAUGCUGCGUGGUGGAGGCACAACAAUAGGACCGCGGAGGCUACGCGUUACGCCUCUCCGCGUGGCCGCGGCGCGGCUGGAGGACCCACGACGACGCCGACGCGCGACGCCUCCGCCGCCUUACCGUGACGUCUUCGCCGGUGAAGAACGGCCAGUGUAUGAGUAUAUCCCAUUCCGACGUCAUGGGUUUCAUUGGUUUUAGGAGAUGUACUCAGGCCAAGACUUCCUGUUGUGCGACUGAAAUGUUUGUUCAGCACCCAGGUGGAGCAUUUCUUUCUCUGUUUUGAUAAUUGCUGCAGCUCUCCAAUGGAUGUUGGCACAUAUAACUUCCAAUAAGAUUAAUGAAAAAAAGAUUGUCUUAAAUUUCUUAAUGGUAAAUUCUAAGGAUUCAUUCACUCA